CUGGUAUGGAUUUCAACUUGAAAUUUGCCUUUGGCAUUCCAUUAUUGUGAAACAUUGACAAAUUUCAUACGGAGAAAGUUCUAGAUCCUUCUGUUUUAGAAUGUGAGGAGGACACAGCCAUAGCAUUUAUCCAGCCUACAAACUAAGGGGCGUUUGAUGAAAACAAUUAAAACUGUAUUGCGGAUCCAAUAUACAUACUGCUGUAUAAUGAAAUUGCUGUGUCUCUCCUUUAGCCUUCACAGAUCAGAAGCAGUCCAGACUCCCAGGAGCCUGCAUACCACAGCUGAAGAUACUCUAGAAGCAGCGACUCAUACAGCUGAAGGAAGAAAACUAUACCCUGCUGUACUGACUUGGGACAGCUCUGCCUUCUUUACAGAACCAAACAGCAUCUCUCCACAAGAUCAUCCAAGGAACAACAGAGAAUGCUAAGGGAAGGGUAGAUGCAGAGUUCUUUGAAAGCCUGCAAUUGUGUCACUACAGAAUUUGUUUUUGCCUCUGUCCUCCAAG
rnacentral:lncRNA from 1 species